AAAAAAGGUAAGCUACUAAGAGCGAAUGGUGGAUGCCUUGACUGGUAAAGGCGAUGAAGGACGUACUAGACUGCGAUAAGCUACGGGGAGCUGUCAAGAAGCUUUGAUCCGUAGAUUUCCGAAUGGGGCAACCCAAUGUAUAGAGAUAUACAUUACCUAUAUAGGAGCGAACGAGGGGAAUUGAAACAUCUUAGUACCCUCAGGAAAAGAAAUCAAUAGAGAUUGCGUCAGUAGCGGCGAGCGAAAGCGCAAGAGGGCAAACCCAGUGCUUGCACUGGGGGUUGUAGGACUGCAAUGUGCAAGAGGUGAGUUUAGCAGAACAUUCUGGAAAGUAUAGCCAUAGAGGGUGAUAGUCCCGUAUGCGAAAAACAAACCUUAGCUAGCAGUAUCCUGAGUAGGGCGGGACACGAGAAAUCCUGUCUGAAGCUGGGUCGACCACGAUCCAACCCUAAAUACUAAUACCAGAUCGAUAGUGCACAAGUACCGUGAGGGAAAGGUGAAAAGAACUGAGGUGAUCAGAGUGAAAUAGAACCUGAAACCAUUUGCUUACAAUCAUUCAGAGCCCUAUGUAGCAAUACAGGGUGAUGGACUGCCUUUUGCAUAAUGAGCCUGCGAGUUGUGGUGUCUGGCAAGGUUAAGCAAACGUGAAGCCGUAGCGAAAGCGAGUCUGAAUAGGGCGCUUAGUCAGAUGCUGCAGACCCGAAACGAAGUGAUCUAUCCAUGAGCAAGUUGAAGCUAGUGUAAGAACUAGUGGAGGACUGAACCCAUAGGCGUUGAAAAGCCCCGGGAUGACUUGUGGAUAGGGGUGAAAGGCCAAUCAAACUUCGUGAUAGCUGGUUCUCUCCGAAAUAUAUUUAGGUAUAGCGUUGUGUCGUAAUAUAAGGGGGUAGAGCACUGAAUGGGCUAGGGCAUACACCAAUGUACCAAACCCUAUCAAACUCCGAAUACCUUAUAUGUAAUCACAGCAGUCAGGCGGCGAGUGAUAAAAUCCGUCGUCAAGAGGGAAACAACCCAGACUACCAGCUAAGGUCCCUAAAUCUUACUUAAGUGGAAAACGAUGUGAAGUUACUUAAACAACCAGGAGGUUGGCUUAGAAGCAGCCAUCCUUUAAAGAAAGCGUAAUAGCUCACUGGUCUAGUGAUUUUGCGCGGAAAAUAUAACGGGGCUAAAGUAAGUACCGAAGCUGUAGACUUGCGCACAACUUAGAUUAUUUAAGUUUAGAAUAUGAGAAACUAAGUUAUAUGUUUAGUUAUAUUUUUACUGAUUUUUAUAGAGUAAAGAUAGAAAUAAAACUUAGUAAAAUCAGUAAAAAUAUUCUUAGACUAAAGUUAAGUAGUUUAAGUUGUGUGCAAGUGGUAGGAGAGCGUUCUAUUUGCGUCGAAGGUAUACCGGUAAGGAGUGCUGGAGCGAAUAGAAGUGAGCAUGCAGGCAUGAGUAGCGAUAAUUAAUGUGAGAAUCAUUAACGCCGUAAACCCAAGGUUUCCUACGCGAUGCUCGUCAUCGUAGGGUUAGUCGGGUCCUAAGUCGAGUCCGAAAGGGGUAGACGAUGGCAAAUUGGUUAAUAUUCCAAUACCAACAUUAGUGUGCGAUGGAAGGACGCUUAGGGCUAAGGGGGCUAGCGGAUGGAAGUGCUAGUCUAAGGUCGUAGGAGGUUAUACAGGCAAAUCCGUAUAACAAUACUCCGAGAACUGAAAGGCUUUUUGAAGUCUUCGGAUGGAUAGAAGAACCCCUGAUGCCAUCGAGCCAAGAAAAGUUUCUAAGUUUAGCUAAUGUUGCCCGUACCGUAAACCGACACAGGUGGGUGGGAUGAGUAUUCUAAGGCGCGUGGAAGAACUCUCUUUAAGGAACUCUGCAAAAUAGCACCGUA
rnacentral:rRNA from 1 species